UACAGAGGGUGCGAGCGUUGUUCGGAAUCAUUGGGCGUAAAGCGCUUGUAGGCGGUCUGUUAAGUCCUGUGUGAAAGCCCUUGGCUUAACCAAGGAAGUGCGCCCGAAACUGCAGAGCUUGAGUACCGGAGAGGAUGGCGGAAUUCCCCAAGUAGAGGUGAAAUUCGUAGAUAUGGGGAGGAACACCGGUGGCGAAGGCGGCCAUCUGGACGGAUACUGACGCUGAGACGCGAAAGCGUGGGGAGCAAACAGG
rnacentral:rRNA from 1 species